rnacentral:rRNA from 1 species
UGGGGAAUAUUGGACAAUGGGCGAAAGCCUGAUCCAGCCAUGCCGCGUGUGUGAAGAAGGUCUUCGGAUUGUAAAGCACUUUAAGUUGGGAGGAAGGGUUGUAGAUUAAUACUCUGCAAUUUUGACGUUACCGACAGAAUAAGCACCGGCUAACUCUGUGCCAGCAGCCGCGGUAAUACAGAGGGUGCAAGAGUUAAUCGGAAUUACUGGGCGUAAAGCGCGCGUAGGUGGUUAGUUAAGUUGGAUGUGAAAUCCCCGGGCUCAACCUGGGAACAGCAUUCAAAACUGACUGACUAGAGUAUGGUAGAGGGUGGUGGAAUUUCCUGUGUAGCGGUGAAAUGCGUAGAUAUAGGAAGGAACACCAGUGGCGAAGGCGACCACCUGGACUGAUACUGACACUGAGGUGCGAAAGCGUGGGGAGCAAACA